UAGGGAAUCUUCGGCAAUGGACGAAAGUCUGACCGAGCAACGCCGCGUGAGUGAAGAAGGUUUUCGGAUCGUAAAACUCUGUUGUUAGAGAAGAACAAGGACGUUAGUAACUGAACGUCCCCUGACGGUAUCUAACCAGAAAGCCACGGCUAACUACGUGCCAGCAGCCGCGGUAAUACGUAGGUGGCAAGCGUUGUCCGGAUUUAUUGGGCGUAAAGCGAGCGCAGGCGGGUUCUUAAGUCUGAUGUGAAAGCCCCCGGCUCAACCGGGGAGGGUCAUUGGAAACUGGGAGACUUGAGUGAAGAAGAGGAGAGUGGAAUUCCAUGUGUAGCGGUGAAAUGCGUAGAUAUAUGGAGGAACACCAGUGGCGAAGGCGGCUCUCUGGUCUGUAACUGACGCUGAGGCUCGAAAGCGUGGGGAGCAAACAGG
rnacentral:rRNA from 1 species